rnacentral:lncRNA from 1 species
UCUGUUUGCUUAAUUUUCUUCUAGAUUUUCCAGGGAGAUCUGUCAGUUAUUAACAGGUUAGAUUCUUACCUCAUUCAGUCUUCAUGUAGGCCUAGAAUUGAUGAUCAACAUCAAGUAGUUUUGACUGUUUAAUGUAAAACUAGAAAAAAUGUCAAGAGAUGUUUGUGUGUGUUCAACAGGGCGGCAAGAAAUGUGUUUGUUUACACUGCUUAUACACCAGAAUACAAUAUGUGAGAUACUAUGGAUUAUGAUUCACUUAUCAGCAAGCAAGAAAAUUAUUGUAUGGAAGGCAAUAUAAACAUCAGAAGAUGACUUCUUGAUUCACUUCCAGAUGGAAUAAGUUAAGUAAUUUGGAAGACAGAAGUCCUGAUAUUGAAUCAAUAGCCAUUCACACCACUUAGGAACAAAAUCACAGGUAUAUGGAAAUAAACGCACCUCUUAUUUAGAGCCCUCUUCCAAUGCCUUAGUGAGAGGGGAAGUUGUUCUUUAUUGGAGAAGAUUAUGUACAUUUCCUUAAUCUUAUUCCUAUGAGUGAAUUACUUUAGACAAAUGCCUGAAAGCAUUCAGAUUCAAAGGCAUUUGCCUCUAAUAGAAUUGUGAUAACCUGACCGCAAGUAGAGAGUUUCAUUCAUAACAUCCCAAAACAUAAACUGAGUUCUGUGAAUCAUAGAUAGAGACAUCGAUUCAUUGCCUUUUCAAUAGAUUACUACUUGGAAGUGCAUUUUAACCUUUUUUCUCUUUACUUGGUUUCCUUACAUUCAAAAGAUUGUUUCUACCAAAGUUUCUAAAUUGCUUUGUAUACAUAGUAUAUAUCUUCAGGGUGGUUGAUUGAGAUGGGGGUGUUGGAGAAAAGUAGAUUAGGAAAUGAUUUCUUAGAAUUCUUCAUGACCUUGUAUUAGGAAGAAAUGGUGGUUCUAGCCAUUGUGAGUAACUUACCCAGGGUUGAUUUUAAAACUUGUAAAAGGGUGAGUUUUUAAAGGAAAACAGGCAGAAAAGCAUCUAUCUUGAAAUAAUUCUAGCUUUCUUUUUCCUUGUUCCUCAAAAGUUACCAAUGAUGACUUCAAUUUUUAUUGUCCAUAGAAAUAUGGACAAUAAAAAUUGAUGUUGGCACAUUCAAAAUGAAACCACAGAACAGCAAAGUCCAAACCGGGAAGGUCUGGUGUUUACCUGCUGCUGCUAAGUCGCUUCAGUCGUGUCCGACCCUGUGCGACCCCAU